rnacentral:rRNA from 1 species
GAACGGUAACAGGAGAAAGCUUGCUUUCUUGCUGACGAGUGGCGGACGGGUGAGUAAUGCUUGGGAAUCUGGCUUAUGGAGGGGGAUAACGACGGGAAACUGUCGCUAAUACCGCGUAGUGUCGAGAGACGAAAGUGCGGGACUGAGAGGCCGCAUGCCAUAGGAUGAGCCCAAGUGGGAUUAGGUAGUUGGUGGGGUAAAGGCCUACCAAGCCUGCGAUCUCUAGCUGGUCUGAGAGGAUGACCAGCCACACUGGAACUGAGACACGGUCCAGACUCCUACGGGAGGCAGCAGUUGGGAAUAUUGCGCAAUGGGGGGAACCCUGACGCAGCCAUGCCGCGUGAAUUAAGAAGGCCUUCGGGUUGUAAAGUUCUUUCGGUAUUGAGGAAGGUUGAUGUGUUAAUAGCACAUCAAAUUGACGUUAAAUACAGAAGAAGCACCGGCUAACUCCGUGCCAGCAGCCGCGGUAAUACGGAGGGUGCGAGCGUUAAUCGGAAUAACUGGGCGUAAAGGGCACGCAGGCGGUUAUUUAAGUGAGGUGUGAAAGCCCCGGGCUUAACCUGGGAAUUGCAUUUCAGACUGGGUAACUAGAGUACUUUAGGGAGGGGUAGAAUUCCACGUGUAGCGGUGAAAUGCGUAGAGAUGUGGAGGAAUACCGAAGGCGAAGGCAGCCCCUUGGGAAUGUACUGACGCUCAUGUGCGAAAGCGUGGGGAGCAAACAGGAUUAGAUACCCUGGUAGUCCACGCUGUAAACGCUGUCGAUUUGGGGGUUGGGGUUUAACUCUGGCGCCCGUAGCUAACGU